GACAGAGGGGGCAAGCGUUGCUCGGAAUUACUGGGCGUAAAGGGCGCGUAGGCGGGAUGGCAAGUCGGUCGUGAAAUCCUUCGGCUCAACCGAAGAACGUCGAUCGAUACUGCUGUUCUUGAGGGUUGCAGAGGAGACUGGAAUUCCCGGUGUAGCGGUGAAAUGUGUAGAGAUCGGGAGGAACACCGGUGGCGAAAGCGCGCGGCUGGCCCUCAACUGACGCUGAGGCGCGAAAGCUAGGGGAGCAAACGGG
rnacentral:rRNA from 1 species